rnacentral:rRNA from 1 species
GACGAACGCUGGCGGCGUGCUUAACACAUGCAAGUCGAACGGAAAGGCCCUGCUUUUGUGGGGUGCUCGAGUGGCGAACGGGUGAGUAACACGUGAGUAGCCUGCCCUUGACUUUGGGAUAACUUCAGGAAACUAGGGCUAAUACCGGAUAGGAGCUCCUGCUGCAUGGUGGGGGUUGGAAAGUUUCGGCGGUUGGGGAUGGACUCGCGGCUUAUCAGCUUGUUGGUGGGGUAGUGGCUUACCAAGGCUUUGACGGGUAGCCGGCCUGAGAGGGUGACCGGCCACAUUGGGACUGAGAUACGGCCCAGACUCCUACGGGAGGCAGCAGUGGGGAAUAUUGCACAAUGGGCGGAAGCCUGAUGCAGCAACGCCGCGUGCGGGAUGACGGCCUUCGGGUUGUAAACCGCUUUCGCCUGUGACGAAGCGUGAGUGACGGUAAUGGGUAAAGAAGCACCGGCUAACUACGUG